rnacentral:lncRNA from 1 species
AGGGAGCAUUGUGAGAUUGAGAGAGAGAGCGGCGGAUAAGAGAUAGAGAGAGCAUUUGAGGUUGUGUUUUUGUUAGAACGAGUUUGUGCUUUUUUCUUAGUGUUUUUUUAUUUAUUCCAUACAGAAUAAGUCAUUUUUAAAACUAUUAAUUUAUGAUUAGGUUUCCUAGGUUCAGUCAAUAAAUAUUUUCCAUUUCCCAUUUUAUUCUCUUUUUGAAGAAACCAACGGCCAGGGGUUGGGAUUAAUUAGGGUACUCUACAGUUUUUUAUUAUUUAGUUUUUUCAUUUUAAUUCUUUUUUAGUUUAUCUUAGUUUAUAUAUUUAAGUUAGUAUUAAAAUAUCAGUUAGUUAGUAAGUGGUCUAGUGGAGGGGAGUGGUUUUUUAGAUCUUUAGUGUAGUGGGUUCGAUACUCCUAGGUGUAGUUUUUUUUCUUUUAACAUUUUCUUUUAUAUUUAUGCUUUAUUAUUCAUAGUUUUUUUAUUAUUGUUUAAAAAUAUAGAUUUGUUUUUUCUUUUAAUUGCAUCAUGUGUUCGAAACCAUUUGAAAACUAUAAAAAUCAUACGUUUCUCGAUUUAAUAUCGAGCCCUUUUUCACACCCUUGUAAGUCGAUUGCUU